UAGGGAAUCUUCCGCAAUGGACGCAAGUCUGACGGAGCAACGCCGCGUGAGUGAAGAAGGAUUUCGGUUCGUAAAACUCUGUUGUUAGAGAAGAACAGCGCAUAGAGUAACUGUUAUGCGUGUGACGGUAUCUAACCAGAAAGCCCGGCUAACUACGUGCCAGCAGCCGCGGUAAUACGUAGGUGGCAAGCGUUGUCCGGAUUUAUUGGGCGUAAAGCGAGCGCAGGCGGUCAAUUAAGUCUGAUGUGAAAGCCCCCGGCUCAACCGGGGAGGGUCAUUGGAAACUGGUUGACUUGAGUGCAGAAGAGGAGAGUGGAAUUCCAUGUGUAGCGGUGAAAUGCGUAGAUAUAUGGAGGAACACCAGUGGCGAAGGCGACUCUCUGGUCUGUAACUGACGCUGAGGCUCGAAAGCGUGGGUAGCAAACAGG
rnacentral:rRNA from 1 species